UACGAAGGACCCAAGCGUUAUCCGGAUUUAUUGGGUUUAAAGGGUGCGUAGGCGGAUUAUUAAGUCAGUGGUGAAAGCCUGCAGCUUAACUGCAGAACUGCCAUUGAUACUGAUGAUCUUGAGUAUGAUUGAGGUGGGCGGAAUGUGUCAUGUAGCGGUGAAAUGCUUAGAUAUGACACAGAACACCGGUUGCGAAGGCAGCUCACUAAGCCAUAACUGACGCUGAUGCACGAAAGCGUGGGGAGCAAACAGG
rnacentral:rRNA from 1 species